AUUGAACGCUGGCGGAAUGCUUUACACAUGCAAGUCGAACGGCAGCACGGACUUCGGUCUGGUGGCGAGUGGCGAACGGGUGAGUAAUGUAUCGGAACGUGCCCAGUCGUGGGGGAUAACGUAGUGAAAAUUACGCUAAUACCGCAUACGAUCUAUGGAUGAAAGCGGGGGAUCGCAAGACCUCGCGCGAUUGGAGCGGCCGAUAUCAGAUUAGGUAGUUGGUGGGGUAAAGGCCCACCAAGCCAACGAUCUGUAGCUGGUCUGAGAGGACGACCAGCCACACUGGAACUGAGACACGGUCCAGACUCCUACGGGAGGCAGCAGUGGGGAAUUUUGGGCAAUGGGCGAAAGCCUGAUUCAGCCAUUCCGCGUGCAGGAUGAAGGCCCUCGGGUUGUAAACUGCUUUUGUACAAAACGAAAAGGUUUCUACUAAUACUAGGAGCUCAUGACGGUACUGUAAGAAUAAGCACCGGCUAACUGCGUGCCAGCCGCCGCCGUAA
rnacentral:rRNA from 1 species